UGGGGAAUUUUGGACAAUGGGCGAAAGCCUGAUCCAGCAAUGCCGCGUGUGUGAAGAGGGCCUUCGGGUUGUAAAGCACUUUUGUCCGGAAAGAAAUCCUUGGCUCUAAUACAGUCGGGGGAUGACGGUACCGGAAGAAUAAGCACCGGCUAACUACGUGCCAGCAGCCGCGGUAAUACGUAGGGUGCAAGCGUUAAUCGGAAUUACUGGGCGUAAAGCGUGCGCAGGCGGUUUGCUAAGACCGAUGUGAAAUCCCCGGGCUCAACCUGGGAACUGCAUUGGUGACUGGCAGGCUAGAGUAUGGCAGAGGGGGGUAGAAUUCCACGUGUAGCAGUGAAAUGCGUAGAGAUGUGGAGGAAUACCGAUGGCGAAGGCAGCCCCCUGGGCCAAUACUGACGCUCAUGCACGAAAGCGUGGGGAGCAAACAGGAUUAGAUACCCUGGUAGUCCACGCCCUAAACGAUGUCAACUAGUUGUUGGGGAUUCAUUUCCUUAGUAACGUAGCUAACGCGUGAAGUUGACCGCCUGGGGAGUACGGUCGCAAGAUUAAAACUUAAAGGAAUUGAC
rnacentral:rRNA from 1 species